rnacentral:rRNA from 1 species
AUACGUAGGUGGCAAGCGUUGUCCGGAAUGAUUGGGCGUAAAGGGCGCGUAGGCGGCUUUGCAAGUCAGUAGUGGAAGUCCAUUUUUCAAGGAUGGAAGUGCUACAGAAACUGCGGAGCUUGAGUGCAGGAGAGGUUAUCGGAAUUCCCGGUGUAGCGGUGAAAUGCGUAGAGAUCGGGAGGAACACCAGUGGCGAAGGCGGGUAACUGGACUGCAACUGACGCUGAGGCGCGAAAGUGUGGGGAGCAAACAGGAUUAGAUACCCUGGUAGUCCACACUGUAAACGAUGAAUGCUAGGUGUAGGAGGUAUCGACCCCUUCUGUGCCGCAGUAAACACAGUAAGCAUUCCGCCUGGGGAGUACGGUCGCAAGAUUAAAACUCAAAUGAAUUGACGGGG